AACGGCGAGUGAAGCGGCAACAGCUCAAAUUUUGAAAUCUUGGCCUAGCCCGAGUUGUAAUUUGUAGAGGAUGCUUUUGGUGCGGUGCCUUCCGAGUUCCCUGGAACGGGACGCCUUAGAGGGUGAGAGCCCCGUACGGUUGGACGCCUAGCCUCUGUAAAGCUCCUUCGACGAGUCGAGUAGUUUGGGAAUGCUGCUCAAAAUGGGAGGUAUAUGCCUUCUAAAGCUAAAUACCGGCCAGAGACCGAUAGCGCACAAGUAGAGUGAUCGAAAGAUGAAAAGCACUUUGAAAAGAGGGUUAAAUAGCACGUGAAAUUGUUGAAAGGGAAGCGUUUAUGACCAGACUUUUUCCUGGCGGAUCAUCCGGCGUUCUCGCCGGUGCACUUCGCCAGGUCGAGGCCAGCAUCGGUUCUUACGGGGGGAUAAAAGCUUUGGGAACGUAGCUCUUCGGAGUGUUAUAGCCCAUUGCAUAAUACCCUCGCGGGGACCGAGGUACGCGCAUUGCAAGGAUGCUGGCGUAAUGGUCAUCAACGACCCGUCUUGAAACACGGACCAAGGAGUCGAACAUUUGUGCGAGUGUUUGGGUGUUAAACCCUCACGCGUAAUGAAAGUGAACGGAGGUCAGAGCCGCAAGGUGCAUGAUCGACCGAUCCUGAAGUCUUCGGAUGGAUUUGAGUAAGAGCAUAACUGUUCGGACCCGAAAGAUGGUGAACUAUGCGUGGAUAGGGUGAAGCCAGAGGAAACUCUGGUGGAGGCUCGCAGCGGUUCUGACGUGCAAAUCGAUCGUCAAAUCUGCGCAUGGGGGCGAAAGACUAA
rnacentral:rRNA from 1 species